UCCUAGUUGGCUCAGUCCAUAGAGCACGUGACUCUUGAUCUUGGGGUUGUGAGUUCGAGUCCCACAUUGGGUG
rnacentral:tRNA from 1 species